GCGUGAACUGGAAUCGUAUCGAACUCGUAAAACUACCAGUAGAAAAGAUUAGUUCGUUCGCUUUGGGCGCGCACUAGAUAGCACUGCCUAUCGAAACACCAGUUAACCACAACCGACUCGACCUGAAGGUUUCAGUGGUGUUUGCUUGAUGGGGUCCAAGCGGGCGACAAAGUGAUGGUCUAAGGACUCGCAGACACAGAGGUGCUCGCGCGUGGAAUGUUGCGCUGGUCGGUGCACCUAGAAGGAGGGCCGCGGAGAGUCAACCAUGCUGCUGUGGCGGUGGGACACAAGGUGUACUCCUUUGGAGGCUACUGCUCUGGGGAGGACUACGAGACACUCCGUCAGAUUGAUGUGCAUGUCUUCAACACAGUGUCUUUGCGCUGGAUGAAGUUGCCUCCAGUGAGGACGGGAGGACAUGAACGUGCCUGUGAGGUGCCGUAUAUGCGUUAUGGCCACACAGCUGUGCUGCUGGACGAUUUUAUCUACCUCUGGGGUGGGCGUAAUGACACAGAGGGGGCCUGCAAUGUGCUUUAUGCCUUUGAUGUCAACACCCACAGAUGGUUCACACCUAAGAUUUCGGGGACUGUUCCAGGGGCAAGGGAUGGCCACUCAGCCUGUGUCCUGGGGAAGGCAAUGUAUAUAUUUGGAGGAUAUGAGCAGCUGGCUGACUGCUUCUCCAAUGACAUCCACAAGCUGGACACCGUCACCAUGGUUUGGUCAUUAAUUAAUGCCAGAGGCACUCCGGCACGCUGGAGAGACUUCCACUCGGCCACCAUCAUCGGGACAAAGAUGUUUGUGUUUGGAGGGCGAGCUGACCGCUUUGGUCCCUUCCACUCCAACAACGAGAUCUAUUGCAACAAGAUCAAAGUGUUUGACACAGAGACCAACUGCUGGCUGAGCACCCCUUCAACACAGCCACUGCCAGAGGGACGCAGGAGUCACUCAGCCUUUUCCUACAACGGAGAGCUGUACAUAUUUGGAGGAUACAAUGCCCGCCUGGACCGGCACUUCAACGACCUCUGGAAAUUCAAUCCAGAAGCCUUUUCCUGGAAGAAGGUAGAACCGAAGGGGAAAGGCCCAUGCCCACGUAGACGGCAGUGCUGUUGUAUGGUUGGAGAUCGAAUCAUCCUCUUUGGAGGAACGAGUCCCUGUCCAGAGCAAGGAAUGGGGGAUGAAUUUAACCUCAUGGAUCAUUCAGACCUGUAUAUCUUAGACUUCAGCCCUAAUUUGAAGACAUUAUGCAAAAUAGCUGUUAUUCAGUACAGUCUGGAGCAGUCGGGACUCCCGCAUGAUAUCAGGUCAGACAAGCAUCCCCUUCUCAAAAAUUAGUGCUGCUUUGUCAUAGAACUGACAUAUUUAUGUUCAUGCUGUUUGUAUUAUGAUGGUCAUUGUUGCCACUACUAUAUCUCUCUGAAUAAUGAGGCUGUUUUUCAGAGGAGCAAAUUGUGACUCAUUACCAUUAAUUUAAUCAGUGCAAGUUUUACUUACACUUUUGUCUGACUUUACUUUAAAAAGUCCCUACAUUUCAAAUGUGUUUAAUUAUAAUCUUCCAAUUAACAGCAUAAAGAUUUGUUUAUAUAAAAAUCUGAAAAUCAUGGUGAAACAUUAGCAUAAUCUGCAGGAUGCUUUCAGUUUGUUCAUUGUCUGUGCACCUGUGUACAAUUUGCACAAAAGGUACUGCGCUGACAAGCCAAAGAAAAUAGACCAAAACAGGAAGAGGACUUUCUCAUUCUAUUUAUUUGUAGCAUGGAAGUGUUAUAGGUCCACAAAUAAAGAGUCCAAAUGAUGUACGCCAAAAUGGUACCUAGAAGGUCACAAUCUUGAAAGAAUGAAGACCGCCCAAAAAAUUCUCCCAAAACUACUGCAGAUCCACUUUACAGCCACACACACCAACACAGGUGGGAAUUGGCAGCCAUGACCACCAACAGCAACAUCAGCAGGCCCAUCUUCUCCUCCCACGGCUGAUGCUGCUGAAUGUGAAGCAGAACCAGAGCUCUGUUUCAGGACACUGGGCUUUUAUCUUUCUAAUCAACUGAGCUCUGAGGGACUGUUUUUGUAGAGUUUGGAUCUGUAUUGGAUUUAUUUUCCACAUUCUUCAAGUGAAAACUCAUUACUGACCAAAAUAUCCUGCCUAUGACUUCCUUGGACACAAUGAGUUUUCUCAUGUCUAAGGAUAUUUUAACCCAUGAAGACAGUGAGACAGAUUAUGUGAGACAGAAAUCGAUGACACUUGUUCACCUUUUUCUUUUCUUUCUAGUCUCUCUAGCAAUCCAAUCAGCCUAUGAUAAUCAUAGACUUCAAAUCUUGCAUUUACAUUUACUCAUUUGGCAGACGCUUUUAUCCAAAGUGACUUACAAUUGAGGCAACUUAGGGUUCAAUGUCUUGCCCAAGAACGCUUCGGCAGGCGGACAGGAGGAGCUGGGGGUCGAACCGCCAACCCUGCUCCACCACCUGAGCCACAGCCGUGCCCAAUCUUAAGCACAGGAGGAAACGAGAACUUCAGCCAAAGGUCUUGAGAGCUCAUCUCUUUGUUGAGGAUGUCAUCCUGAUGUCACACUCAACAGAUCUCCCCGAAGAAACAAAUGUGAACCUUCUGUUCCAUUUAUAAAGAGACUGAGGUGAUCAUGAGUUUAUAUAUCUUGCAGUUUUAACUUGGUCAUAAAACCAUGUAGAACUACCAUGUCCAUUUGCGGCAAAUUAAGUUAUUGUACACAGUAUAUGGAGAAGGCUAACUGACUACUCUGGUGAUAAGUGCAAGGAGACGGAGUAUUUGGUACCACAGUGUUGAGUAUAACGCUUGUGAAAGGUUCUGUUUGACUGGUUUUCAAUGCUUAGCUUUUCCCCCUACUUCAUCAUUACUUGGCUGGCACCCCAAUGCUCUCAAGUGUCUCAAAGGUGACUUGCAAGGCAGCUGAGGAAAAACUGUCUGCCUUGUAAACUAAUCAAGCCCAUCUACCUCCCUCAAUAGCAUGUAUCAUUGAGUCUUUAAUAAGACUUCCCACAUGAGACAUCCACUUUUGACGGGGAAGUUUGUAUUUGUGGUUGUCUGCUGUAUUCUUCCAAGAAAUGUCUUAGUGUCACUGGAAGUGUGCGACUCGUGCCACUACCCCCCACCCCACCCCUUUAGUUUAUUUUUCAGUGCCAAAUGUGGAAAGGGAAUCAUGAUGCAAGUAUAUACUGUGUAUGUGUAUAAGCACAUGGUCCUGUCUAUACAUAAUCCUAGCCCACCUGCUUCAGUUUGCCUGUUGUUGUCAGGGAGAUCAUCACUAAUAUGCAUAAUGUAGUUGUUCCUCUUAUAGACAAUCCUACAGCUUUCAGAGACUCUCCUCGUGACCUGCGUCUUCAGAGUACAGUGAAAAACCAGGAAAGUGUGCACAUGUGUUUGUGUACAACUACGAGCAAAGCUACACUUGAGCAGAUGUUCUAAAUGCAUAAGGGCUGUUCUUAGAUUACACACUCACCACACAGCUUGAAAAUAACUUGGAAUAGCUCAAAAUGGGGAUGUCACAUUGUGUUUUCAUUGUAUUAAUAAUAAUUACGACUUUUAGACCAAAACUUUGAAAACAUAGGAAUUUUGGUGGGGGUUUUUUUCAGAUUUUUAUCUCCAUCCACUUUAAUUAAAGGAUAGGGUUGAUGGUAUUCUGUAUUGUUGAUGUUGUCAACAACAACAACAGCUACAACAGCUGGGCACUCUGAACAAUGAACAGUUUUCAGUCACUGAUUUGCUGCACUUAUUUGAAGUAGCAGGACGGUGUAUCUAGGAUAGACUCAAACUCAUUUCCUUAUUGUUAUGAAGAAACAUGUCACCCAGUGCAGCUCUUUGAUUCAUUUAUGUGUUUUUAAUAGUUUUUGUAUAAUGUUGAAAGUCUACAGAGUAAAAUAUAUCAGGCUGUUGAUUCAAAGACAAUCCUUGUUAUAUCAGUUAAUCGUUGGUUUUGGUCUUUGUUGACAGUAAGAAAAUAUAGAAUAUCACCAGACUUAUCCUUUAAAUCUUAUAAAUAAGAAUAGUAAGUAAUACAGCAUGAUGUUGAAAUGAAUGACUUGGUGAGGAUGAAUAUACAGGCAGAAGAGAUGUUAUUAAUACUGCCUAUUUAUUUUAACCUUUUCAUGGAUGCAAAUGGAUGGAUGGAUAUUAGUUGUAUCUGGUCCUGAACAGUACAAAGCCCUAAAGUUUGCAAAACUAAGAUGUGAAUAGGAACUGUGUUACCACAAACUUGUGAGCUGCAUCAGUGCUUUUUAGUCCUGGUCAUUGGGACAGAGGGUGCUGUUGUUUUCUGUCCUGCCAGAUAGUUGAAUUUAAUCUGUAUCAGUUAGGCCAUGACCGGCUUGUUAGAAUUAAACCCAGCAGGGCUCUGGGUCCCAAACAUCAGGACUGAAAAACACUGACCUACAUUCUAAAUGUUUACAAAUCUAAGUAUUUCAUGUAAAGCAGUGUAAAACAAUCUUAAAUGCAGGUUUAAAUCGCCAAGUAACUGCACUAAAGCCAAACGUGGCAUGUCGGGCCUUACAGAGAGGAGACAUGUUGAUGCUGCUUUUUGCCUAAGAAGACUCCAGAGUUUGAGACAUUUGCCUGCCCAAACCAAGUCUGAAUUUUAUUUACAGACCGGUGGUGCCAAUGUGACUCAGCGAGUCUUAUGCCCUCUGCACUGCACAUGCACAUGGACAUAUCACAAACUUGAAAUUCCUCAGUACUAUACAACAGGUAAUGCAGUGAAACCACAGGGAAGCUAAUCAUGUGUCCAUACACACACACACACACAUACACACACACACACACACACACACAUUAAAAAAAAAA